rnacentral:lncRNA from 1 species
CAACAAUUGAAGUGAAUAAACCGUAAAAAUGUAAUUGGUACUUCAUCUUAAAUUAAUUGGUAACCAAGGUGAUGAGAUAUUUAGUGAACAGUAUUGUAACAGAGGAAAUACACGAAAAUGGACUUUCCACUGUAGCAAAUUUUCAUAUUGGCCUUUGACCCAUUAAAUGAAUUGAAAAAAAAAAAGAAAUUAAGUUUAAAAAAACAUUACACUAAAAGAGCAAAUUUACCUUUCAGCUAGUGACUGUUUGAAUCUCAUUUUCUAGCCGACCGACCAAAAAAGAAAACCGACACACAGUCGUCUGAAAAUUGUCCGAUCAACCACCGGCCAACUACACCACCGUCGUAGUGAGCUUCACGCAUCUACACCGGAAAGAAUACCGGUUAGUUUUCUCGCACAGAGUUCCAGUUGAAAAUUUAUUGAAUAAUAUUAGAUUUAAUUAGAUGAAUAUUCGAUUUGAUUUCUAUCAUGAGCAUGAGUAGUGUUAGAUUGUGGGCAUGCUGAGAUAAAAAAUGUGAUAUUUUUUGUAAUUUUUGGACCUACUGGCCGGCAAUGGCGAUUUC